AACAUACCACCUCAUAGGGAAGCCUUUUCUCAAUCUAUGUCGAUCACAUGCCACGGAAGCAUCACUUGUCCUCAAUGCAAAUUCUUUUUUAAACAAAUGGACACAUAUUUAUGUUAUGUGAUGGAAACAUUUUUAGUGAAAGACUUUUUCAAGUUGGUGGAAACACGUUCCAUGUGAGACACUUCAUACAGUUUUUUUUUGAAAAAAUGCCCAUAUUUUUUUAAAAUAACAAAGCUUCAUUGGUUAUCAUCGGAUUCCUUAUAUUGCUUCCAACAAAACAAAUAUAUUUUCCAAAUAUAACUCUUUAUUACUAUUUUAACAGUGUUGGUCUGAACAGAUUGGAAUUUUGCUUCCAAUUAUAUUAGAAUAGGCAUCCAAAGCAAGUCCCCUCUGCUUCCAUAUAAAACUAGCCAUCUAGGCAUAAUGCACCAUCGGCCGGUGAUCGCAUGAUGGCACUUGUCCUUCCUAUAUAUGAUGGUUGUGCUUCCUUUCUAUGGCGUCCGUCCAUCCUGGCGAUGGUGUCCAUCCAAUGGCGACGGUGCUUCCUUCCAGUGGUAGGCAUGCUUCCCACGUUAUAAUGGUGGAUGUGCUUUCUUUGUUGUCUGACAGCCUAGGGGAUCGCAGAGGAGCGGCAUGAAUGGAGCGACUCUGGUGCACUGUUAACCGAGGGUCGUGCUUUCUUCAAAUGGUGGGUGUGCUUUUUUCAAAUGGUGGAUGUGUUCUCUUCUGCUACUGGUCCAAGAGAUAGGAACAAUGUCAAUAUGGGUACGUGCUUCCUUGUGAUGGUGGUCGUGCAUCCUUCUUGAUGAUCCUCCUGCUCCCUUGUGAUAAAGCAUGCAUUGGAUAUACAUGAAGCAUCGAAUAUCAGUAGCAAAAAACAUGGUGAUGAAGCACGUAUUGGAUAUAUAUGAAGCAUCGAAUCUGUGUAGAAAAAAGAAGAAGAAAGAAAACUUGCAUAUAAUCGAUCAGUACAUAAGAACUAUACGAG
rnacentral:lncRNA from 1 species